rnacentral:rRNA from 1 species
GACGAACGCUGGCGGCGUGCUUAACACAUGCAAGUCGAACGGAAAGACCCUGCUUUUGUGGGGUGCUCGAGUGGCGAACGGGUGAGUAACACGUGAGUAACCUGCCCUUGACUUUGGGAUAACUUCAGGAAACUGGGGCUAAUACCGGAUAGGAGCUCCUGCUGCACGGUGGGGGUUGGAAAGUUUCGGCGGUUGGGGAUGGACUCGCGGCUUAUCAGCUUGUUGGUGGGGUAGUGGCUUACCAAGGCUUUGACGGGUAGCCGGCCUGAGAGGGUGACCGGCCACAUUGGGACUGAGAUACGGCCCAGACUCCUACGGGAGGCAGCAGUGGGGAAUAUUGCACAAUGGGCGGAAGCCUGAUGCAGCAACGCCGCGUGCGGGAUGACGGCCUUCGGGUUGUAAACCGCUUUCGCCUGUGACGAAGCGUGAGUGACGGUAAUGGGUAAAGAAGCACCGGCUAACUACGUG